CCUACGGGAGGCUGCAGUGGGGAAUAUUGGGCAAUGGGCGCAAGCCUGACCCAGCAACGCCGCGUGAAGGAAGAAGGCUUUCGGGUUGUAAACUUCUUUUCUCAGGGACGAAGCAAGUGACGGUACCUGAGGAAUAAGCCACGGCUAACUACGUGCCAGCAGCAGCGGUAAUACGUAGGUGGCAAGCGUUAUCCGGAUUGACUGGGUGUAAGGGGCGUGUAGGCGGGACUGCAAGUCAGAUGUGAAAACCACGGGCUCAACCUGUGGCCUGCAUUUGAAACUGUAGUGCUGGAGUACUGAGGAGGCAGACGGAAUUCCUAGUGUAGCGGUGAAAUGCGUAGAUAUUAGAAGGAACACCAGUGGCGAAGGCGGUCUGCUGGACAGCAACUGACGCUGAGGCGCGAAAGCGUGGGGAGUAAACAGGAUUAGAUACCCGGGUAGUC
rnacentral:rRNA from 1 species